rnacentral:lncRNA from 1 species
CUGCUGUUCUUCUCGAUCUGUGCGUUACGACCUCUCUCUUGACGUCGCGACAAUGGUGGAGGUGCUGGAGCCUGCAAUCUGAUGCAGGAAAGCCUGAUUCGGACCCGUACGCCCAGUCCGGAGACUCAACCUCUCGUCACGACUCCAGUGCACCGAUUCAGCCGGCGCCUACUAGGCCUAAGUCUGGAACUCUUGAAGGC